GAAAGCCCCGGGCUCAACCUGGGAACGGCAUCCGGAACGGCCAGGCUAGAGUGCAGGAGAGGAAGGUAGAAUUCCCGGUGUAGCGGUGAAAUGCGUAGAGAUCGGGAGGAAUACCAGUGGCGAAGGCGGCCUUCUGGCCUGACACUGACACUGAGGUGCGAAAGCGUGGGUAGCAAACAGGAUUAGAUACCCUGGUAGUCCACGCCGUAAACGAUGUCGACUAGCCGUUGGGACCUUUAAGGACUUAGUGGCGCAGUUAACGCGAUAAGUCGACCGCCUGGGGAGUACGGCCGCAAGGUUAAAACUCAAAUGAAUUGACGGGGGCCCGCACAAGCGGUGGAGCAUGUGGUUUAAUUCGAUGCAACGCGAAGAACCUUACCUACCCUUGACAUCCAGAGAAGUUGGCAGAGAUGCCUUCGUGCCUUCGGGAACUCUGAGACAGGUGCUGCAUGGCUGUCGUCAGCUCGUGUUGUGAAAUGUUGGGUUAAGUCCCGUAACGAGCGCAACCCUUGUCCUUAUUUGCCAGCGAGUNAUGUCGGGAACUCUAAGGAGACUGCCGGUGACAAACCGGANGAAGGUGGGGACGACGUCAAGUCAUCAUGGCCCUUACGGGUAGGGCUACACACGUGCUACAAUGGCCGGUACAAAGGGUUGCGAGACCGCGAGGUGGAGCGAAUCCCAGAAAGCCGG
rnacentral:rRNA from 1 species